UCCAAGAAGUAGGAAUUUUGGUUUUCAAUAUCCCUAUCUAUCAAUCUCCUAGUUUUUGUGCCUUUCUUCACUAUGGAGGUGGGCUUGAAUUCGAAUCCAUUCUAUUCUUCAUCUUUGGUGAGAGAUGAUAAGGUCCUACUGGGCCAGACUCUCUUCCACCAGAUGAUUAGGGAGUUGUUUGCUAUCACUUUGAUCAGUCACCUUCUUUUUCUAUUUUUUCUCCGAAGUCCAAUAUCCUAAAAAAUCUCUCUUUUCAUCAUUCUCUCUCUUUCUCAUUUUUGUUGCAGAGUAUCAAAGAAGGACUGUCAACUCUCUCUACGAUCUUGCUCCAAGGAAUGGUAUUCCGAUCGUAUCUUAAGGCGGAAUUUAUAGUGACGCUGGCUCGAUGAAUCAGAAAUUUGCUUUCAAACAGUGCUUAGCAUGCUUCUAGAUCUUUCUUUUUUGUUUCUGCUUCUUAAAGUCUACAGGCCAAUCCAAUCAGAUUUUCAGUCCUUUGAUCACUACAGUUGCAAUGUUGGUGAAUGACAGUAGUUGUGUCCAUGAAACAAUCAAUUCUGUGAGGAACGGCUUUAGUAAACUUGAAGGAGUACCUCUAUAAUAUGAGUGCAUGGCUCUUGCUAUUUGUUAAACCUUUUUCGUGUGUAACAAGGACGAGAUUUUUUUAAUUAAAGUCAUACUGAAGAUGUUUAGUGCUUUAUGCAAAAAAGUUAAAUCUUCAUUAGUGUUCAAUAUCUUAAAUAAA